CCCAAUGUCCUCUGAAGUUAUUUUUUUAACCUUUCUUUGUCAUGUCAGCUUUAUAUUAAUUCCUUCGUGAGUCAUGGACUGUGAAUAUACGAGGGUGAGC